CCUACGGGUGGCAGCAGUAGGGAAUAUUGCUCAAUGGGGGAAACCCUGAAGCAGCAACGCCGCGUGGAGGAUGACGGCUUUCGGAUUGUAAACCCCUUUUGUUAGAGAAGAUAAUGACGGUAUCUAACGAAUAAGCACCGGCUCACGCCGUGCCAGCAGCCGCGGUUAUACGGAGGGUGCAAGCGUUACUCGGAAUAACUGGGCGUAAAGAGCGCGUAGGCGGGAUAGCAAGUCAGAUGUGAAAUCCUAUGGCUUAACCAUAGAACUGCGUUUGAAACUGUUAUUCUAGAGUAUGGGAGAGGUAGGUGGAAUUCGUGGUGUAGGGGUAAAAUCCGUAGAGAUCAAGAAGAAUACUCAUUGCGAAGGCGACCUGCUAGAGCAUAACUGACGCUGAUGCGCGAAAGCGUGGGGAGCGAACAGGAUUAGAUACCCCGGUAGUC
rnacentral:rRNA from 1 species